rnacentral:misc_RNA from 1 species
UUUCCGUAGGUGAACCUGCGGAAGGAUCAUUCAUAAUAAAGUGUUUUAUGGCACUUUUUAAAAUCCAUAUCCACCUUGUGUGCAAUGUUAGAUCUCGUCAAUCUUGGCGAGAUUUUUAUACAUCAACUCAUUCUUUAACUAAUUUGUCUGAAAAAUAUUAUGAAUACUUAAUUCAUAAUACAACUUUCAACAACGGAUCUCUUGGCUCUC